rnacentral:rRNA from 1 species
AGGACGAACGCUGGCGGCGUGCUUAACACAUGCAAGUCGAGCGGUAAGGCCUCUUCGGGGGUACACGAGCGGCGAACGGGUGAGUAACACGUGAGCAAUCUGCCCUUCACUUCGGGAUAAGCCUCGGGAAACGGGGUCUAAUACCGGAUAUGACCGUGCCAUGCAUGUGGUGUGGUGGAAAGUUCUGGCGGUGGAGGAUGAGCUCGCGGCCUAUCAGCUUGUUGGUGGGGUAAUGGCCU